ensembl:lncRNA
AUUUGGUUAACUGCUACUCUUCCUAAGUAAAACCAUAUAGGAAAGGGAAUUUGAAAACUGAAUCACUUUAUGAAUAUGCCUGCCCUAAGAAGAGGUAGUAACAAAGCUUAUCAGAGCACAGAAGUAUUGAGGAGGAGCUCCUGGCGCCUGCUUCCCUUAGCCCUUCUGCUGGAGUCCAGGUGCAGAAUCUGUUCCAUAGAGGAAAUCUCUCUGUCAGCAGACAGAGGCAGUAAUGACAUAUACGAACACAACAGUGAAAUGAAAGAGCAGCUCAUCAAGAGCACUUUGGGUUCCUGGAGAAACUUCCCACAGUGCAAAAGAGUUUCUAAGCUGUCCUGAAGAAAAAGACAAACUUGGGAGGAGCAGAAGAUCCCUUGCUUGCUGUUGGUCUUCAUUGUCAGAGCCAGUUUCUGGAAGAUCUGAAAUCUCUUCUGACAGACCCACUGGGAUCUCUGGUGGCUUGGCUGCUGAGUAGGCACAUUGAAGAAAAUCAAAAACUAUGUCUUCUGUUUGGGCCUAAAAUGUGGCUGUGUCCAACCACCAGCUCUCCAGGAAAGUUCCUCUUCAGAGGAGAGACCAUUGAAGCCAAGGAGUGGGAAAUGUGCUGGAGAGGAUGUGCUCCCUUGGGCAAAGCAAAGCAGUGUGCAGCUACUUUUCUGUUUCCUCCUUGUUGGACCCUCUCUGCUGUGGGCAAGACUAGGACGAGAGUUCUGUCUCCCUCUUUUAUGGCAUGGAUGGACCUCAUUGGGAUGUUCUUUUUCUCCUGCUGAAAACUUCUGCCAGCACCAGGGCAUAGACAGUCGUCUGCAUGACUGUCAGUGCUGUGAUGGAUUGGAGCAGGCUGGGAAGGCAGCAAGAGGGUGGGGAACAAGGAUGGCAAGAAUGUUCUCCAACACCGUUACCACCCGGAGCUUCUAGUUACUCUUCUGUCCCAAAAGCCAAGACAGCAUCAGCAGACUGCUCCAGUAACCCAGUGCAGCAGCCCAGGGUGCAGCACGAGAACCCAGACUGUAGCCCAGCGCAGUCCCAGGGGGCUACUGAGAUCUCCACAGCAAAGAUAGAUAAAUACUGUCUAAAUGUGUUUUGUUUUCGUUUGUUACUAUUUCCUGACCUAAGAAUGUAUGAUUACAGUCUUGGACAACCAGUACAUGACUGUGAACAAAUCCACAAGUUAGGAAGAAGUUUCUGUUUUGU